rnacentral:rRNA from 1 species
ACGCAUUAAGCACUCCGCCUGGGGAGUACGGCCGCAAGGCUGAAACUCAAAGGAAUUGACGGGGGCCCGCACAAGCGGUGGAGCAUGUGGUUUAAUUCGAAGCAACGCGAAGAACCUUACCAGGUCUUGACAUCCUCUGACAACCCUAGAGAUAGGGCUUUCCCCUUCGGGGGACAGAGUGACAGGUGGUGCAUGGUUGUCGUCAGCUCGUGUCGUGAGAUGUUGGGUUAAGUCCCGCAACGAGCGCAACCCACAUCCUUAGUUGCCAUCAUUCAGUUGGGCACUCUAAGGGAACUGCCGGUGAUAAGCCGGAGGAAGGUGUGGAUGACGUCAAGUCCUCAUGGCCCUUACGGGUUGGGCUACACACGUGCUACAAUGGUGGUGACAAUGGGUUAAUCCCCAAAAGCCAUCUCA